UUCGGAUAUUGGUCCCUCAACAUGCAAUAAUGCUGAGAAUGUUUUCCGACUUGCAUAGCGACCACAAAUAUCCUAGAAUAAAGGUCAGGAACUCUGUGCAAUGACAUUGAAGCUUGUGACAUUGCAUCGUUCUUCCUGCGACACUU